rnacentral:rRNA from 1 species
GUUUUUUAGAAUUUAUAUUGAAAGUCUGGUCUGCCCAAUGAUUAUUUAAAUGGCUGCGGUAAUUUGACCGUACAAAGGUAGCAUAAUAAUUAGUCUUUUAAUUGAAGUCUGGAAUGAAUGAUUGGAUGAGAAAAUUACUUUCUUUAAAUUUUUAUUAUUAAAAUUUUAUUUUUAAGUGAAAAAGCUUAAAUUUUUAUUUGGGACGAUAAGACCCUAUAGAGCUUAAUAUUUUUUUAAUUUUUCUUUUUUUGGUUUAUAAAUAUUAGGUUAAUUAAAAUGAAUUUUUUGUUGGGGUGAUAACUGAAUUUUAUUUGUCUUUAUGUUUAUUAAUUCAAUUUUGUUUGAUUUUUUUGAUCCAUUUUUAUUGAUUGUAAGAUAAAGCUACCUUAGGGAUAACAGCGUAAUUUAUUUUAAGAGUUCUUAUCGAAGAAUAAGUUUGCGACCUCGAUGUUGGAUUAAGAUUAGAAAAGGGUGAAGAUUUUCUUUAUUCUUGGUCUGUUCGACCAUUAAAUUCUUACA